ACGCGUCUCACAAACUGCAGUUUGUGAAAACAGCUCUGUGCUUCCAGACGUCAGAUUUCCGUACCGCAGCGGUUUUUAACGCGGUGUCAAAAGUCUCACUUCCCGCCAGCUGGACCCGGUUGUACCGCGCUGCUCUCCAGGGCCGGGGCCGGGGCCCUGCCCGGCGCAGACCGUAGCUGCUGUGACCCAAAGAGCGGGUCCAUUCGCCCUGGGUGCAAAACGCCACACUACGCACAGGGCGGAGGCAUUUCAUAGAUCGCAUUCAAGGCACAGCAGCAGCAUUACAAGACAUGGAUUUAGAAACGCUGGCACACAUACCAGGCCCGCUUUAACAGGAAGAGCCACACAGAGAAGUGCCCACCGUGCCUGAAACCUGCACAGUACGCCUCGCUGCCUCUAACAGCCAGCAGAUUCUCCUGUUAUCUCGACUUCUAGAGUCUGCUGACUGAGGCCACAAGCACCUUACUGUACACAGACCAUUUAUCUCAUUCUCAAUGGAGCCAUUAUGUCAAACCUUUGCAGCUGGUCUAAAAAACAACUGGGAAGGCUGGUUUUUAGUGAGAAUUUAUUCAAUGCCUCAAUAAUUUUUAUAAAAUAAAAUUUCCCUUUCCAGAAAAUGCUA